rnacentral:rRNA from 1 species
CGGCGGACGGGUGAGUAACGCGUGGGUAACCUACCCUGUACACACGGAUAACAUACCGAAAGGUAUGCUAAUACGGGAUAAUAUAUUUGAGAGGCAUCUCUUGAAUAUCAAAGGUGAACCAGUACAGGAUGGACCCGCGUCUGAUUAGCUAGUUGGUAAGGUAACGGCUUACCAAGGCGACGAUCAGUAGCCGACCUGAGAGGGUGAUCGGCCACAUUGGAACUGAGACACGGUCCAA